UAGGGAAUCUUCGGCAAUGGACGAAAGUCUGACCGAGCAACGCCGCGUGAGUGAAGAAGGUUUUCGGAUCGUAAAACUCUGUUGUUAGAGAAGAACAAGGACGUUAGUAACUGAACGUCCCCUGACGGUAUCUAACCAGAAAGCCACGGCUAACUACGUGCCAGCAGCCGCGGUAAUACGUAGGUGGCAAGCGUUGUCCGGAUUUAUUGGGCGUAAAGCGAGCGCAGGCGGUUUCUUAAGUCUGAUGUGAAAGCCCCCGGCUCAACCGGGGAGGGUCAUUGGAAACUGGGAGACUUGCGUGCAGAAGAGGAGAGUGGAAUUCCAUGUGUAGCGGUGAAAUGCGUAGAUAUAUGGAGGAACACCAGUGGCGAAGGCGGCUCUCUGGUCUGUAACUGACGCUGAGGCUAGAAAGCGUGGGGAGCAAACAGG
rnacentral:rRNA from 1 species